GUAGGGAAUAUUGGACAAUGGAGGAAACUCUGAUCCAGCCAUGCCGCGUGAGUGAUGAAGGCCUUCGGGUUGUAAAGCUCUUUUGGUGGGGAAGAUGAUGACGGUACCCACAGAAUAAGCACCGGCUAACUUCGUGCCAGCAGCCACGGUAAUACGAAGGGUGCUAGCGUUGUUCGGACUUACUGGGCGUAAAGGGCGUGUAGGCGGCGUUUCAAGACAGGGGUGAAAUCCCGGGGCUCAACCUCGGCAUUGCCUUUGUGACUGAAGUGCUUGAGUACGAGAGAGGUUAACGGAAUACCCAGUGUAGAGGUGAAAUUCGUAGAUAUUGGGUAGAACACCGGUGGCGAAGGCGGUUAACUGGCUCGGGACUGACGCUGAGGCGCGAAAGCGUGGGGAGCAAACAGGAUUAGAAACCCGUGUAGUCC
rnacentral:rRNA from 1 species